rnacentral:rRNA from 1 species
GCUCAAAUUUGAAAUCUGGCAGUCUUUUUUUUCUUCUUUGGCUGUCCGAGUUGUAAUCUAGAGAAGUGCUUACCUGCAUUGGACCAUGUAUAAGUCUCCUGGAAUGGAGCGUCACAGAGGGUGAGAAUCCCGUCUUUGACAUGGACCGCCAGUGUGUUGUGGUGUGCUCUCAAAGAGUCGAGUUGUUUGGGAAUGCAGCUCUAAAUGGGUGGUAAACUCCAUCUAAAGCUAAAUAUUGGCGAGAGACCGAUAGUGAACAAGUACCGUGAGGGAAAGAUGAAAAGGACUUUGGAAAGAGAGUUAAACAGUAUGUGAAAUUGUUGAAAGGGAAACGCUUGAAGUCAGUUAUGUCGGCUAGGGGUCAACCUAGCUGUUUUUGCUGGGUGAAUUUCCUAGUCUGACAGGCCAACAUCAGUCUUGACUGCUGGAAAAGAGCAGAGGGAAUGUGGCACCUUUGGGUGUGUUAUAGCCCUUUGUCAUAUGUGGCAGUUGGGACUGAGGGAUGCAGCGUGCCGUGAGGCUGGGUUUUGACCACGUUCACGCUUAGGAUGUUGGCUUUUAAUGGCUUUAAUCGACCCGUCUUGAAACACGGACCAAGGAGUCUAACAUGCCUGCGAGUGUUUGGGUGGAAAACCCUUGUGCACAAUGAAAGUGAAAGUUGAGAUCCCUGUCAUGGGGAGCAUCGAUGCCCGGACUUGAGCUGUUAGCAAUGGAUCCGCGGUAGAGCAUGCAUGUUGGGACCCGAAAGAUGGUGAACUAUGCCUGAAUAGGGCAAAGCCAGAGGAAACUCUGGUGGAGGCUCGUAGCGAUUCUGACGUGCAAAUCGAUCGUCAAAUUUGGGUAUAGGGGCGAAAGACUAAUCG